CCUACGGGAGGCUGCAGUGGGGAAUAUUGGACAAUGGGGGCAACCCUGAUCCAGCCAUGCCGCGUGUGUGAAGAAGGCCCUCGGGUUGUAAAGCACUUUCAGUGAGGAAGAACGCCUGGUGGUUAAUACCCAUCAGGAAAGACAUCACUCACAGAAGAAGCACCGGCUAACUCCGUGCCAGCAGCCGCGGUAAUACGGAGGGUGCGAGCGUUAAUCGGAAUUACUGGGCGUAAAGCGCGCGUAGGUGGCUUGAUAAGCCGGUUGUGAAAGCCCCGGGCUCAACCUGGGAACGGCAUCCGGAACUGUCAAGCUAGAGUGCAGGAGAGGAAGGUAGAAUUCCCGGUGUAGCGGUGAAAUGCGUAGAGAUCGGGAGGAAUACCAGUGGCGAAGGCGGCCUUCUGGACUGACACUGACACUGAGGUGCGAAAGCGUGGGUAGCAAACAGGAUCAGAUACCCCUGUAGUC
rnacentral:rRNA from 1 species